CCCUGCCCUUUGUACACACCGCCCGUCGCUCCUACCGAUUGAAUGGUCCGGUGACGCCGCUCAUGAUGCUAUGAGAAGUCCAUUGAACUUUAUCAUUUAGAGGAAGGAGAAGUCAUAACAAGGUUUCUGUAGGUGAACCUAUGGAAGGAUCAUU
rnacentral:rRNA from 1 species